rnacentral:rRNA from 1 species
GCAGUCGAACGCUUCUUUCCUCCCGAGUGCUUGCACUCAAUUGGCAAUAGGAGUGGCGGACGGGUGAGUAACACGUGGGUAACCUGCCCAUCAGAGGGGGAUAACACUUGGAAACAGGUGCCAAUACCGCAUAACAGUUUAUGCCGCAUGGCAUAAGAGUGAAAGGCGCUUUCGGGUGUCGCUGAUGGAUGGACCCGCGGUGCAUUAGCUAGUUGGUGAGGUAACGGCUCACCAAGGCCACGAUGCAUAGCCGACCUGAGAGGGUGAUCGGCCACACUGGGACUGAGACACGGCCCAGACUCCUACGGGAGGCAGCAGUAGGGAAUCUUCGGCAAUGGACGAAAGUCUGACCGAGCAACGCCGCGUGAGUGAAGAAGGUUUUCGGAUCGUAAAACUCUGUUGUUAGAGAAGAACAAGGACGUUAGUAACUGAACGUCCCCUGACGGUAUCUAACCAGAAAGCCACGGCUAACUACGUGCCAGCAGCCGCGGUAAUACGUAGGUGGCAAGCGUUGUCCGGAUUUAUUGGGCGUAAAGCGAGCGCAGGCGGUUUCUUAAGUCUGAUGUGAAAGCCCCCGGCUCAACCGGGGAGGGUCAUUGGAAACUGGGAGACUUGAGUGCAGAAGAGGAGAGUGGAAUUCCAGGUGUAGCGGUGAAAUGCGUAGAGAUCUGGAGGAAUACCGGUGGCGAAGGCGGCCCCC